UACGUAGGGGGCAAGCGUUGUCCGGAUUUAUUGGGCGUAAAGAGCGUGUAGGCGGCCACACAGGUCUGCUGUGAAAACUCGAGGCUCAACCUCGAGCUGUCGGUGGAAACCGUGUGGCUAGAGUCCGGAAGAGGAGAGUGGAAUUCCCAGUGUAGAGGUGAAAUUCGUAGAUAUUGGGAAGAACACCGGUGGCGAAGGCGGCUCACUGGCUCAUUACUGACGCUCAGGCGCGACAGCGUGGGGAUCAAACAGG
rnacentral:rRNA from 1 species